rnacentral:snRNA from 1 species
CUGUUCUGCCUUGGGUAACACAUAUACUACAGUUGAAAUGAUACAAAGAUUAACUUGGCCCUGUGCAAAUGACAUGCAAAUUUGUUAAGUAUUUCAUAUUUCU